GAUGAACGCUGGCGGCGUGCCUAAUACAUGCCAGUCGAGCGAACAGACGAGGAGCUUGCUCCUCUGACGUUAGCGGCGGACGGGUGAGAACACGUGGAUAACCUACCUAUAAGACUGGGAUAACUUCGGGAAACCGGAGCUAAUACCGGAUAAUAUAUUGAACCGCAUGGUUCAAUAGUGAAAGACGGUUUUGCUGUCACUUAUAGAUGGAUCCGCGCCGCAUUAGCUAGUUGGUAAGGUAACGGCUUACCAAGGCAACGAUGCGUAGCCGACCUGAGAGGGUGAUCGGCCACACUGGAACUGAGACACGGUCCAGACUCCUACGGGAGGCAGCAGUAGGGAAUCUUCCGCAAUGGGCGAAAGCCUGACGGAGCAACGCCGCGUGAGUGAUGAAGGUCUUCGGAUCGUAAAACUCUGUUAUUAGGGAAGAACAAAUGUGUAAGUAACUAUGCACGUCUUGACGGUACCUAAUCAGAAAGCCACGGCUAACUACGUG
rnacentral:rRNA from 1 species